rnacentral:rRNA from 1 species
GGGUGAGUAACGCGUGAGUAACCUGCCUUCAAGAGGGGGAUAACAUUCUGAAAAGAAUGCUAAUACCGCAUGAUAUAUCGGAACCACAUGGUUCUGAUAUCAAAGAUUUUAUCGCUUGAAGAUGGACUCGCGUCCGAUUAGUUAGUUGGUGAGGUAACGGCUCACCAAGACCGCGAUCGGUAGCCGGACUGAGAGGUUGAACGGCCACAUUGGGACUGAGACACGGCCCAGACUCCUACGGGAGGCAGCAUG